UACGUAGGGCGCAAGCGUUGUCCGGAAUUAUUGGGCGUAAAGAGCUCGUAGGCGGUUUGUCGCGUCUGCUGUGAAAACCUAAGGCUCAACCUUGGGCUUGCAGUGGGUACGGGCAGACUAGAGUGCGGUAGGGGUGACUGGAAUUCCUGGUGUAGCGGUGGAAUGCGCAGAUAUCAGGAGGAACACCGAUGGCGAAGGCAGGUCACUGGGCCGCAACUGACGCUGAGGAGCGAAAGCUAGGGGAGCGAAUGGG
rnacentral:rRNA from 1 species